rnacentral:rRNA from 1 species
AUACGUAGGGGGCAAGCGUUAUCCGGAAUUAUUGGGCGUAAAGAGUGCGUAGGUGGUUUUGUAAGCGCGGGGUGAAAGGCAAUAGCUCAACUAUUGUAAGCCCUGCGAACUGUGAGACUUGAGUGCAGGAGAGGAAAGCGGAAUUCCUAGUGUAGCGGUGAAAUGCGUAGAUAUUAGGAGGAACACCAGUGGCGAAGGCGGCUUUCUGGACUGUAACUGACACUGAGGCACGAAAGCGUGGGGAGCAAACAGGAUUAGAUACCCUGGUAGUCCACGCCGUAAACGAUGAGCACUAGGUGUCGGGGCCGCAAGGCUUCGGUGCCGCAGUUAACGCAUUAAGUGCUCCGCCUGGGGAGUACGCACGCAAGUGUGA